rnacentral:rRNA from 1 species
CCCUUAGAUGCUCUGGGCCGCACACGCGCUACACUGAAGGAGGCAGCGUGUACUCCUGGAUCGAAAGAUUUGGGUAACCCGCGAAUCUCCUUCGUGCUAGGGAUUGAGGUUUGCAAUUAUCCUUCAUGAACGAGGAAUUCCCAGUAAGUGCAAGUCAUAAGCUUGCGCUGACUACGUCCCUGCCCUUUGUACACACCGCCCGUCGCUACUACCGAUUGAAUGAUUUAGUGAGGACUUCGGACUGGGACCGAUGCGGCUUUCGGGCUGCGUCGGUAUUCUGGAAAGAUGUCCAAACUGUNUNAUUUAGNGGAAGUAAAANUCGUANCA